UGUUGGCGGCAAGCCGGUGUAACCCAGCCAGCGCAGCCGGAACGUUUCAUUGCGGGACGCUCCACACAUCUGAAUGGAUGCUGUCUGUUUUGAGAGCACUGCUGAAGCUCUUUACAAACCAAGGAGAGUGCCCAGGUUUCCAUUUUCUUGGUAAAGUGCUGCAGCCCAUCCUUAGUCAAUUCAUAAGGUGCAUCAUGUCGAAUGCAUCUACAGCUUCAAAAAAAACAGCCAAGAGACAGAACACACCGACACGUAGCUCCAUCUCCAACGGCCUCAAAGAAAUUCAUAUUGAUGAAGAGGUGAAGAUAGCAGUGAACCUCUCUCUGGAGAGGUUCCGCUACAGUGACCAGAAAGAGAUGGAAUUUCCCUCCUCCUUCUCUAGUACUGAGAGGGCUUUCAUUCAUCGAAUGGCCCAAUCCUUGGGUUACAUUUCUAAAAGCAAGGGGAAAGGACUACAACGCUUUCUCACCGUCAGGAAGAAGGAUGGUUUAGAAAAACCUCUGACUACGAUGGCCCUCACUCCAUCCCACAAUUCAUCAUGUUUUAUUCGCAGCUUGCUUCAGAGGUUUCCUAUUACCAAUAAGGAACGCAUAGACCUGCAGCCCAACAACAAAAGAGCCAUGACUGUGCCUGCAGAACUUGCUCUUUCCUCAGACAACAGCUGUGACCGAAAUGGGGCAAACGGGCGCUUAAACAAUGGCAUACCCAAGGUGCCUAAGAGGAGGAGUCCAUCAGAACUAGAUUCUUUUCGACACUCCCUGCCUGUGCAUGAACGGCAGGUGGAGAUCAUCCAGCUCAUUAAAGAAAACAGGGUGGUGCUGGUGCUGGGAGAGACUGGCUCUGGAAAAACUACACAGAUCCCACAGUUCCUGUUGGAUGAGUGUAGCAGGAAUGAUGAGCCCUGCAGAAUCUUCUGCACUCAGCCCAGACGUCUGGCUGCCAUUGCUGUGGCUGAGAGAGUGGCAGCUGAGAGAGGAGAGAAUGUUGGCGAGACCAUUGGUUAUCACAUCAGACUAGAGAGCAGGGUCUCCCCCCAGACACUGUUGACCUUUUGCACCAGUGGAGUGUUCCUCAGAACGUUGAUGACUGGAGAUGCCAGUCUGUCAACUGUCACACAUGUCAUUGUGGAUGAGGUGCAUGAGCGAGAUGGUCUGACUGACUUCCUGCUUACUAAAAUGCGAGAUGUGCUUCAGAAAAUUCCCACACUGAAACUGAUCCUCUCCAGUGCAGCUCUGGAUGUAGACCUGUUUCUUCAGUACUUUGGCUGCUGCCCUGUUAUCCACCUCAAAGGAAGACAGUUUGAAGUGAAGGAAGUCUUCCUAGAGGACAUUCUGAGGCUGACAGGCUUUAGCAAUAAGGACAUGAGGAAAUACAAGGAGGAGACACAGAGAAGCUUCCUCCAGGACAGCACCUUCCUGGACAGAGGGGACAGCACCUCCAAUAAGCUGAAUGAGAACGGCACAGAACAGUUGGAGCCAUGGCUGCUAAAAGAAAUGGACUCCUGCAUUUCCAACAUUUUCCUCAAUGAAGACCAGGAUGCUUUUAUUCAGCUCUUCAACCUCAUCCUCUAUGAAAGUGUUGAUGUGGACUACAGGCACAGUGAGACAGGAUCCACACCUCUGAUGGUGGCAGCAGGUCGAGGGUUCCUCACACAGAUGGAGCAGCUACUUAACCUUGGGGCUGACAUCAACCUGAAGGCAUCUAAUGGAUGGACAGCCUUAGACUUUGCCAAACACUUCCAGCAAAAAGAUGCUAUGGAUCUACUCAAAUCCUCCAUGCCGUUGGGAGAGGUUAGCAGUUUGGAUGAGUCCUCUCUGGUGCUGUGUGGCAGUACGGAGCUGAGCACAGAAGAGCAGGGGCUGCUCGAACUGUACCACCAUAGCUUUGACGAUGAGAGGGUGGACGUGGACCUCAUCAUGGAUCUGCUAUACAACAUCUGCUCCACAACCAGCGACGGUGCUGUCCUGAUUUUUCUUCCCGGAUACGAUGAGAUAGUGGCACUCAGGGACAACAUCCUGUAUGAUGAUAAGAGAUUCACCACCCACUCUGAGAGGUACCAAGUGUUCACUCUACAUUCAGACAUGCAGACUCUGGAUCAAAAGAAAGCCAUGAAAACCUCUCCGCCCAGUAUCAGAAAGAUAAUUCUUUCUACUAACAUUGCUGAGACAAGCAUCACUAUCAAUGAUGUAGUCUUUGUCAUUGAUUCAGGAAAGGUCAAAGAGAAAUCCUUUGAUACUCUCAGCCAUGUAUCCAUGCUAAAGACAGUUUGGAUCUCCAAAGCUAGUGCUCUACAACGGAAGGGAAGAGCUGGGCGCUGCAGACCAGGGAUUUGCUUCCAUCUCUUCAGUCGACUCAGGUUCAACAACAUGCAGGACUUCCAGGUUCCACAGCUGCUGCGGAUGCCACUGCAGGAACUGUGUCUGCAGACCAAACUGUUGGCUCCCUCCUCCUGUCCAGUAGCUGAGUUCUUGUCCAAAGCACCACAGCCUCCUCCUACACAUGCCAUCAAGAAUGCAGUGCAAAUGCUAAAGAAAAUAGAUGCCAUGGACCAGUAUGAAGACCUGACGGAUCUGGGCUACCACCUGGCUGAUCUGCCUGUGGAGCCCCACCUUGGCAAGAUGGUGCUGUGUGCAGUAGUGCUCAAGUGUCUUGACCCAAUUCUAACUAUCGCCUGUACUCUGGCCUAUCGUGACCCCUUCAUCCUUCCCACCCAGAAGGCUCAGAAAAAAGCCGCUCUACAUUGCCGCAAACGCUUUGCUUCUAACACCUUCAGUGACCACAUGGCCCUGCUAAGAGUAUUUCAGGCAUGGCAAAGGGCCCGUAGUGAUGGUUGGGAAAGAUCCUUCUGUGAGAAGAACUUCUUGUCCCAAGCCACCAUGGACAUGAUACUUGGCAUGAGGACACAGCUGCUGGGACAACUCCGUGCUAUUGGUUUUGUGCGGGCUCGUGGCGGCAGUGACAUCCGUGAUGUGAAUAUGAACUCUGAGAACUGGGCCGUGGUGAAGGCAGCCCUAGUGGCUGGCAUGUAUCCAAACCUGGUCCAUCUCAACCGGGAGAGCUUGGUGCUUUCCAGUAACAGGGAGAAGAAAAUCCACUUUCAUCCUACAUCUAUUCUGAACCAGUUUCAGCUCAAGGAGAACAGCCCAGCCAAAUCAGCCCAGGCCUAUCCCACAGACUGGUUGAUCUACAAUGAGAUAAGCCGAGGCCACAGGAUGGCCAGUGUCCGAUGUUGCUCCAUGGUGACUCCCAUCACUGUGGCCAUAUUUGGAGGUUGUGCCAGACUACUCACUGCUGCCCUGCAGGAACCUGCUGUACAGAAAGAUACUGACAGUUCACUGGAUGACCUCAGUGACAGUGAGACAGAGGACUCAGCUGAAAUUAGGGUUGAUGACUGGCUCGUUUUCCAAAUGGACAGAGAGGCUGCAGGACUGGUCAUUGAACUGAGGCAGAAGUGGCAAAAUUUGUUCAUCAAGAGGAUCCGUUAUCCUUCAAAGCCUUGGUCUCAACAAGACGAGGCCAUCAUUCGCACUCUAGUUUGUGUGCUUACAGCAGAGGAGCAGGGGGCAGGUCUGCAACAACCCACAGGUAUUGGCCAGCGACCCCGGCCCAUGUCAUCAGAGGAGGGGCCCCAUGCUUCUGUGAAGAACUCCAAGAAUAGCCUCCAGCUACCAACAAACACCACAAAUGACAGGAUGCCAACAGCUUCAGGUCGACCUCAGAUGAAAGCCCAUAGCAGAGAGAAGUCUUCACUGCCCAUGAAUCAGCUCUGUGAUGACACGCAUUUCUCUAGUAAUUCUUCCUGCUCUGUGACCUUGGACAGUCCUUCUGAUAGCCCCUAUCCCUUCUCAGGAAAGCAGGUCUCAAAGCCAAUGUCUCAACUGUUUUUUUCAUCAUUGCGGUACUUCAUAAUGAAGAGCAGUAACAUCAGGAAUAUAGAAAUUUCUCAGCAGAAAAAUAUUUGGUCCACCACCCCAAGCAAUGAGACCAAACUCACCAAGGCCUUCCUGGACAACAACCUCAUCAUCCUUAUCUUCUCUGUUCAGGGCUCUGGACACUUCCAGGGAUAUGCUCGCAUGGCAUCAGUCAUCAGUCAGGAGAGCUGUGAGGACUGGGACUUUAUGGGACUAGGAGGGGUUUUCAGUGUGGAGUGGAUCCACAAGGAGAGUCUUCCCUUCCACUGCACCCAACACAUCCUCAACCCUUGGAAUGACAACAAGAAGGUCCAGAUCAGCAGAGAUGGACAGUUCAUCAUAGCUACGCGUCGAGAGAUCUUAAGCAACGUGAUUGGAUGGUUUUUAACUGCAAUGCACCCUGGGAGUCGUAGUUGUUUCAGGUCUGGUUCCUGCAGCGAUCAUUUCUGAUUGACACGAAUCAACUCUAAGGUGAGUAAAGGUGAGUCAUGGUAAAAUCUGCAAAGAAAUAAUAGAUGCUAUAAAAGGUGACAUUUUCAGAGAGCAGUCUGUGUACUUCUGCGACUGUUAUUUUUGUGACGUAUUCUCAUGUGAAAGACACUUGCUUGGCCAGCUAGCUAACAGUAGUACUAGCCUAUAUUAGCCUCGUAGUUUUUAAGCGCACUUCAGCAGAGAUGGAGGGCCUGGCCUGUAAGGCUGAAGGCUGAUGGCAAUAGGCGGUUAAAUCUCCUCUCUAAACAAUGAACUGUUUAAAUGUUCUCAAAGAACUAAUAAUGUUCAGAUUUACCAAGCAGUAACUUUCCCUAAGUCUAAAUUUAUAUUUUAAUCAGGCAGUACUGUUAACUACUAUUUGAUACAUGCUGUCAUUUUAAGCAAAACAUUUCAUUGAAAUAUGAAACUCCAGUGCUACAGACCUAUGCUCUUGACUAAUUAUUUAGGGGGCUUAAUUUUAGCCAGGCCUGUGUGGGAUUGCCAGAGGUACCUCUGCCACAAGCAGCCAUGUCUGUACACACAGACAGGCUUACACUAAGUGGCAAACACGCCUGUUACUUUACAGUACUCACUACCAUCCUGUGAUUCUUCUUCUUCAUAGCUGUCUUUAUUUUAAAUUUUUCUUGACAUAUUAUAUUUUAAAUUACAGAAGUGGCAAUAGGAAUUUUAUGUGCACACAAAAUCACGUUAGUUCUGGUUAUUUCUUUGCUGAUAAAUUACUUUUGUGCCUGAAAUAAUCCCUACAUGUUUCAUUUUCAUUUGCAGAAAUGACACAGCCAAAAAGAAGGUGUGCCCUUCUUACCAGGCUCCCAACAAUUUAAACAGGAAGACCUGCAGUGGAUGCCUGUCCAGCCUGGAAUCUAAGCAGAACUUAAAAAACAUCAACCUAAUUCUUCUUAAUUCUGUCCAGCUGUCGAUUUUAAAACUGCAUGCCCUAGGCUACCAACCUGUUCUUUUCCUGAGCCAUCAUGACUGGAAAGGCCAAAUGGUCAGGGACAUUAUACACCAUGUGGAUCCAGCAGAAGGGGUGGUACCUGAGAUCCUCAUGAAGAUGAGGAGGUUGUACGAGCGCAUGCUAAUAAGAGUUACAGCCCCAAGCAGCGAGCCAGCUGUUGUCACUGUGGGAGUCCAGUUGAAUAAGAGGUAUCAGCAGAUCACCUCUCUGCACUAUGCUCCAGUUUUGUUCUUCCUUGAUCAAAUGCGGCUAAAGUAUGCAAACAUUGUAUCUAAUUUUCAUCGGUCAGGGGAUAGGUCUUGACAUGUUUUAAUUUCUGUUCUGCCAGUAAUUGCAAGAUGGCAGGAGAAUAGAGAAGGAACUCUUUAAAAAAAUCUGACAUGAAUUAAAGUGGAUGAAAUGUGUUUUUAUCACAAAUGUUUUGAUUUCAUAACACAGUCCAUUCAGUUUGUUGAUUAUCGCUCCGCCUUUAUGAUGGUGUCAAGUUAGUCUUUAUGGUUUUGAUAGUCUGACAUUUUAUUUUCAGCACAUAAACAAUAUUUCUCUGCACUGACCUUUUGAGAUUGGGUUUCUCGGGAUUGUUCAAAUGUUCUGUGUUAAAGGUUCGGGUUCUGUUCUACUCUAUUUAUGGGACAUUUGUCAACUUUCUUUUGCAAUUGUUUCCUGGAUGAAGACAUAUAACAACUUUAAAAAAGUUGUUAACAUUUGAACCUUGAAAUUUAACCUUGUUAAGUUGUUCUGUUGAGUUAGACCAUCUGUAAGAUUGUGUUAAUGAUAUAACAAAAUAAAAUAGUGUUGUUAAGUUGUUCUGUUGAGUUAAGCCAUCUGUAAAAUUGUGUUAAUGACAUGACAAAAUAAAAUAGUGAUUUAAUAUUAAAA